UCUUUUUAUUGGAUCACUGCUCUGUGUAUCUCACUGUUAUUAGUGAAAACUCCUUCGUAGAACCUAUGACUUGCUACUGACCAAUAGAAUAUGACAAAGAUGAUGAGACGCCACUUCUGUGAUUCCAUUCCUGCAAUUCCAUGAUUGUGUUACAUCAUUCUCACUUAGCAACUGAGACAGGGGGAGAAAGGGAAAAAGAGGGAGAGACAGAGAGAGAGAGAGAGAGAGAGAGUGAGAGAGAGAGAGGAUUUGUCUUUCUGGCUUUUAUGAAGUAAGCAACCCUGUUGAGACAGUCCAUCUGACAAGGUACUGCAGGUGGCUUCUAGAAGCUGUGAGCAGGUUCCAGCUGAUGGCCCCCAAAAAAAAAAUGCUGGGGUCUUCAGUCAUACAUCCUUAAGGAAAUGAAUUCUGGCACAAACAUGAGAGAGCUUUGAAGCAGAUUCUAACCCAAUUGAGUUUCCAGAUGAAAAUGGAGUCUAGACAAAACCUUUAUCUCAGCCUUGUGAGAUUCUGCACAGAGGACCCAGGUCAUGAAGAUAAAUUUGCCUGACCUUCAGAGUGCCCUUCUUGGGAAUGUUUCUCUUCUUUGCUGGUUCUACCAUAUUUUUACAAAUAAUGAGAAACAUCAGGUACCGUGUGAAGGUCUGGGCAUAUAACAGGAAACAAGAAAGAUAAAGCCCUUGCUUACAUAGAACUUGGUGAAGAAUCUAGACCAUAAGAAGCACACAGAGAAAAUGUAUCACAAAUUGUGCUAAAGUUCUGUAAAAGGAUUAAGAUGGAGUGUCACAAGACUGAAUUAGACAGAGUGCCCUUGAAAGAGAAUACUGAGUAUGUUCCUGUGUCACCUUAUUUGCCAAUAGUGCCAGUUUUUAGAAUGGAGGGUAUAGAUCCAUCCUUUGCAACUGGGGAGGACCUCCUCAGUAAGGCACGGAGCCAGGAUUCUAUGCAGCCGUGCAAACAGGGAAACACUACACACACAAUGAAAAGACAUUCUUUUCCUGUCUGUGGUGGAAUCGUCCAAGUUGUUUGGCUUGAUUUCCAGUGUCGACUUUCUAAACCAACAAGAUUUUAAUCCUCUGAUGCCAGAAUGUUAGGAGUGUCUGUUUGUGGGCUGGAUUUUAGUUGCCGAGGUGAAUGAAACCUGGUUCAAGUUGCCUGGCACAGGAAAGCCAAAGAUCCACACCAAGAUUUUGCAGCUAGAGAAAAGAGGGCAUUUAUUCGCAGGGCACCAAGCAAGGAGAAUUGGGUCACUUCUCUAAUGACCUGCUUCAGCUUCACUGCACCCAGAUUGCUGGGAAGAUCAGCAUGCUCAGUAUAUCUGGGAUGUCUGGAGACAGCUGGAACAAAGAAGAGCUGCAGGAGCUGUGAGUGUCAGUCACAACGUGGGUACCACUCUGGUCCUCAGUGGCCUGCUCUUCAAAGCACCCCAGCAGCCUUCACUGCCGAGGACCUCAGUAACCCUCAUGGUCACCAGAGAAUCCUCACUGCUUCCACCAAUGAGAAUCCUAUCAUGUCUGCUUCAAACACCAGAGCCACCACUAUGGGAUCACUGUCUUUCAUUGUCUGAUAUUUAUUGAAAACUUGUUUAUUUUCAGCUUUUUAUUGUUUCAGAGAUUACUUUUUGAGUGUUUCCUAUGUGGCCAGCAUUGCUCUAGGAAGUUGAGAAUAUUGUUGAACAAGACAAAAAUUCCUGCCUUGUAGAGCUUACACACUAACAAAAGGAAAGAAACACUGAAUGACAAGGAUGCCAGGUCUGCCAAGUACCAGCCUUAAGCCAGCAUAAGGUAUAAAAUGAAUGAGCCAAGACUCCGCCUGUGACAUGUUACUGUACACCUCAAGAAGAACCCUGGCAGUAUGUUAAAAAGUAAAAUAUUUUAAUGCAAUUUA